rnacentral:rRNA from 1 species
AGCAGCCGCGGUAAUUCCAGCUCCAAUAGCGUAUAUUAAAGUUGUUGCAGUUAAAAAGCUCGUAGUUGAAUUUCGGGACUAAUAUGUCGGUCGUACUUUGUACGUACUAGCAUUAUUGGUUUCUCCCUUCUGACGAACCACGAUGUCAUUAAUUUGGUGUCAUGGGAAAUCAGGACUGUUACUUUGAAAAAAUUAGAGUGUUUAAAGCAAGCUCGCGCUUGAAUACAUUAGCAUGGAAUAAUGAAAUAGGACGUUUGAUUCUAUUUUGUUGGUUUCUAGGAUCGACGUAAUGAUUAAUAGGGAUAGUUGGGGGCAUUAGUAUUCAAUUGUCAGAGGUGAAAUUCUUGGAUUUAUUGAAGACUAACUACUGCGAAAGCAUUUGCCAAGGAUGUUUUCAUUAAUCAAGAACGAAAGUUAGGGAUCGAAGACGAUCAGAUACCGUCGUAGUCUUAAUCAUAAACUAUGCCGACUAGGGAUCGGAUGAUGUUAAUUUUUAANGACUCAUUCGGCGCCUUACGGA